GCACAGUGGAAACCCGGAAAUACACAUGAGGGUCCCAGCUGUUAAAGGGACGGCUUAAAGGGAAGGUGGUUGGGGCGUGGCGGUCACGUGGGUUACAUCUACUUUAUUCUUAGUGUGCUCCUU